rnacentral:ncRNA from 2 species
AAUCAAUUUUAUCUAUAUGGCCCUCACAGAUGAGGUUAAAAGGGAAUCCGGUGCGCCUAACGGCAAAUCCGGAACGGUCCCGCCGCUGUAAUCCGAUCCUUUUCGUUUCAAAGGGAAAAGGAGGUUUUUGGCCGCUGUAUCCACUGCUUCUUAAUUAGAGAAGCGGGAAGGAAAGUCAAAAACUUAGGAAAGUCAGAAGACCUGCCUUAUAGUUAUAAUGUUU